rnacentral:rRNA from 1 species
GUAGGUGGCAAGCGUUGUCCGGAAUUAUUGGGCGUAAAGCGCGCGCAGGCGGUUCUUUAAGUCUGAUGUGAAAGCCCACGGCUCAACCGUGGAGGGUCAUUGGAAACUGGGGAACUUGAGUACAGAAGAGGAAAGCGGAAUUCCACGUGUAGCGGUGAAAUGCGUAGAGAUGUGGAGGAACACCAGUGGCGAAGGCGGCUUUCUGGUCUGUAACUGACGCUGAGGCGCGAAAGCGUGGGGAGCAAACAGGGAUUAGAUACCCUGGUAGUCCACGCCGUAAACGAUGAGUGCUAAGUGUUAGGGGGUUUCCGCCCCCUUAGUGCUGCAGCUAACGCAUUAAGCACUCCGCCUGGGGAUACGGCCGCAGGGCUG